UACGGAGGUCCCAAGCGUUGUUCGGAAUUACUGGGCGUAAAGGGAGCGCAGGCGGAUAGUUAAGUCUAAAGUGGAAUCCCGGGGCUCAACCUCGGAACUGCUUCGGAUACUGGCUGUCUUGAGUUCGUGAGAGGAAAGCGGAAUUCAGGGUGUAGCGGUGAAAUGCUUAGAUAUCCUGAGGAACACCAAUGGCGAAGGCAGCUUUCUGGCGCGAUACUGACGCUGAGGCUCGAAAGCGUGGGGAGCGAAC
rnacentral:rRNA from 1 species